rnacentral:rRNA from 1 species
AGAGUUUGAUCAUGGCUCAGAACGUACGCUGGCGGCACGCCUAACACAUGCAAGUCGAACGAAGUAGCAAUACUUAGUGGCAGACGGGUGAGUAACAUGUAGGUAUCUACCCUUUGGCCUGGAAUAACACGAGGAAACUUGUGCUAAUACCGGAUAAGUCUUUACGGAGAAAGCUUUAUGCACCAUUGGAUGAGCCUGCACUUGAUUAGUUUGUUGGUGGGGUAAUGGCCUACCAAGACUGUGAUCAACAGCUGAUUUGAGAGGAUGAUCAGCCACAUUGGGACUGAGACACGGCCCAAACUCCUACAGGAGGCAGCAGUGGGGAAUCUUGCACAAUGGAGGAAACUCUGAUGCAGCGAUGCCGCGUGAGUGAAGAAGGCCUUUGGGUUGUAAAGCUCUUUCGUCGGGGAAGAAAAUGACUGUACCCGAAUAAGAAGGUCCGGCUAACUUCGUGCCAGCAGCCGCGGUAAUACGAAGGGACCUAGCGUAGUUCGGAAUUACUGGGCUUAAAGAGUUCGUAGGUGGUUGAAAAAGUUGGUGGUGAAAUCCCAGAGCUUAACUCUGGAACUGCCAUCAAAACUUUUCAGCUAGAGUAUGAUAGAGGAAAGCAGAAUUUCUAGUGUAGAGGUGAAAUUCGUAGAUAUUAGAAAGAAUACCAAUUGCGAAGGCAGCUUUCUGGAUCAUUACUGACACUGAGGAACGAAAGCAUGGGUAGCGAAGAGGAUUAGAUACCCUCGUAGUCCAUGCCGUAAACGAUGUGUGUUAGACGUUGGAAAUUUAUUUUCAGUGUCGCAGCGAAAGCGAUAAACACACCGCCUGGGGAGUACGACCGCAAGGUUAAAACUCAAAUGAAUUGACGGGGACCCGCACAAGUAGUGGAGCAUGUGGUUUAAUUCGAAGAUACGCGCAGAACCUUACCAACACUUGACAUGUUCGUCGCGACUUUAAGAGAUUAGAGUUUUCGGUUCGGCCGGACGAAACACAGGUGCUGCAUGGCUGUCGUCAGCUCGUGUCGUGAGAUGUUGGGUUAAGUCCCGCAACGAGCGCAACCCUCACUUUUAGUUGCCAUCAUUAAGUUGGGCACUCUGAAAGAACUGCCAGUGAUAAGCUGGAGGAAGGUGGGGAUGACGUCAAGUCCUCAUGGCCCUUACGUGUUGGGCUACACACGUGCUACAAUGGUAUCUACAACAGGAAGCAAAACGGCGACGUUAAGCAAAUCCUCAAAAGAUACCUCAGUUCGGAUUGCACUCUGCAACUCGAGUGCAUGAAGCUGGAAUUACUAGUAAUCGUGGAUCAGCGUGCCACGGUGAAUGCGUUCCCGGGUCUUGUAGA